UGGGGAAUAUUGGACAAUGGGCGAAAGCCUGAUCCAGCCAUGCCGCGUGUGUGAAGAAGGUCUUCGGAUUGUAAAGCACUUUAAGUUGGGAGGAAGGGCAGUUACCUAAUACGUAUCUGUUUUGACGUUACCGACAGAAUAAGCACCGGCUAACUCUGUGCCAGCAGCCGCGGUAAUACAGAGGGUGCAAGCGUUAAUCGGAAUUACUGGGCGUAAAGCGCGCGUAGGUGGUUUGUUAAGUUGGAUGUGAAAUCCCCGGGCUCAACCUGGGAACUGCAUUCAAAACUGACAAGCUAGAGUAUGGUAGAGGGUGGUGGAAUUUCCUGUGUAGCGGUGAAAUGCGUAGAUAUAGGAAGGAACACCAGUGGCGAAGGCGGCCACCUGGACUGAUACUGACACUGAGGUGCGAAAGCGUGGGGAGCAAACAGGAUUAGAUACCCCCGUAGUCCCUGAGCGGGCUGGCAAGGCGCAU
rnacentral:rRNA from 1 species